AGUGAACGCUGGCGGCAGGCCUAACACAUGCAAGUCGAACGGCAGCACAGUAAGAGCUUGCUCUUACGGGUGGCGAGUGGCGGACGGGUGAGGAAUACAUCCGAACCUACUUUUUCGUGGGGGAUAACGUAGCGAAACUUACGCUAAUAUCGCAUACGACCUACGGGUGAAAGCAGUGGAUCUUCGGACCUUGCGCGAUUGAAUGAGCCGCUGUCGGAUUAGCUAGUUGGCGGGGUAAAGGCCCACCAAGGCGACGAUCCGUAGCUGGUCUGAGAGGAUGAUCGGCCACACUGGAACUGAGACACGGUCCAGACUCCUACGGGAGGCAGCAGUGGGGAAUAUUAGACAAUAGGCGCAAGCCUGAUCCAGCCAUACCGCGUGGGUGGAGGAGGCGUUCGGGUUGUAAAGCCCUUUUGUUGGGAGAGAAAAGCAGCAGGUUGAUACCCCGCUGUUCUGACGGUACCCAAAAAAUAAGCACCGGCUAACUUCGUG
rnacentral:rRNA from 1 species